CGCAGGGGGCUGGGCCCGGUCGCAGCUGCGACCGCGGUAUGUACACCAGUGGAAGGAUAUUAAGGAUCAGAUAUUUGCAAUAUGUGAGGUAAAUAUACCUUUUACUCCGCAGAGUUUUCAAUUACACCAGGGAUGGCUCAGCAUGCCUAUUGAUAAUUCAUAUCUUAAUGGCAACAAAGGUAGUUUUAGCAAGAAAUUGGAAAAGUAAAAAGAUAUUUGAGUGGAAUGAAAUUAAAAAACCAAACGAUAUAUCAAUGUAAAAUGGAAU